CCUUUCUCAGCUCCACUGAAUAACACAGGCCCACUGUGUACAUGGUUUAUUUUAAGGAAGAGAGAGGAAGGCCCUCCUAUGUAUGGAAAACCUGCUCCAAAGUGGUCUCUUGGUUCCCAGGAGUGCAACAGCU
ensembl:snoRNA